rnacentral:tRNA from 1 species
GCCGGGGUGGCAGAGCCAGGCUAAUGCGGCAGCCUCGAGAGCUGUUGACCCUUUGGGUCGUCAGGGUUCAAAUCCCUGCCCCGGCGCCA